rnacentral:rRNA from 1 species
CUAAGCGCAUACGGUGGAUGCCUUGGCAGUCAGAGGCGAUGAAAGACGUGACAGCCUGCGAAAAGCGUCGGGGAGGCGGCAAUAUCCUGUGAUCCGGCGAUAUCUGAAUGGGGAAACCCACUUGUCAUAAGACAGGUAUCGUAAAUUUAUUUACGAGGCAAACCGGGAGAAGUGAAACAUCUCAGUAACCCGAGGAAAAGACAUCAAUAGAGAUUCCCCUAGUAGC